GCACGUAGCGGAACGAGUGAGAGUUUUGUUGCAACUUGAAUAAAGAAGUACCCUUUUGAAACAUCGCUUUAAGAUGAAGUUAAUAUUUUGUAAAUAAUGGAAUGUCAUUUGAGUAUAUGUACCAGUGUCUGUUUACACCAAAAAGGAUAAAAGCAGAUGAUAAAAGGACGUUUUGACUGGGAUAUACACUCAAAAGUUAUGGAUUAAAAUACAAUGUAGAAGAAAUGUAUGGCCCAAGAUGACGGAUAAGCUCCUGUUAACUAUAUUGCUGCUUUCAAGUUUGUCAGGUUGUGAGCCGUCCUGCAAGACUGCUGAGGACUUUGAAGACCAGUGUAUGCAACCAUACAAGGGGUACAGCGGACCUAAUUUCUGGAGUAAUGUUUGCAGCGUUGAAGGACGAAUUAUUUGGUCGUGCAUUAAAAGUCAUAUUGACAAUAAUUGCACCAGUGAAGAACAAAAGAAUGAUACCGCAAAAUUCGAAACAUUUUUCAAGCCAUUCCUGAUGUCUUUAGAUUUCGCAUGUGAGAUUUCAAGUACUGACGGCCUUUGCAUGACUAUCACUAGUUGCUUCCCUGACAGUAUAUAUCAAUACCAAGGAAAUACUGUGUACAGUUUCUAUGAGUAUUUUUGCGGCACGGAGAAACAUCUACAGUACAUGUUUAAUUGCACGAAAAAUCUAGAAACUCUUUGUCCAAUCACCGUAGAAAAGUGGUCAAACUCAUUCGAGAUACAAACCUCGACAAGCCUUUUAGAAUACAAUACACUUAGUGAGAAAGUUCUAGCGGAGUGUGGAAAACUUAACACAGAUCAAGAUAUCCAGUGUAUACAAACUAAUGAGACGCAGCUGGCACAGUGUGAGAUAGAACCUAGAAUUGACGUUCCAAAUGGUAUUAUAACAUGCGAACAUACCGGUCAGUCUAAGUCAUGUGUAGAAAGCAUAUGUGGGAGCAGGGUAGCGGCGUUCUACCACGAAAUAUUCACUUUCUUACAGUGUGGACUCCGCGUCGACGGAAACUGGGGCGCGUGGAGUACAUGGUCCACGUGUAGUGCUACAUGCGGGGAAGGGACAACAAGUCGAACACGUGAGUGUAAUAAUCCAGCACCGGUAGGACAAGGAAGCGAAUGCGUGGGAAGUUCGACAGAAGAAAACAAGUGUACUAUACAAGAAUGUCCAGUUGAUGGUAAAUUUGGAUUUUGGGGAUUUUGGUCGAACUGUAACCAGACAUGUGGUGGUGGGACUCAAACAAGAACAAGGUCGUGUAACAACCCAGAACCAGCGCACGGAGGAAGUGAAUGUGUUGGUGAUACAAGCCAGUCACAGACGUGUAAUACACAAGAAUGUUCCGGUGUGUAUGGCCCUUGGAGCUCGUGGGGUAUUUGCUCGAAAACCUGCGGAGCUGGGACACAAACGCGGUCAAGAACUUGUGAAGGAAGUAACAGCUGUAGUGGACCGAGAACGGAAACUAGAGACUGCUUCCCGUCAAACUGCCCAGUAAAUGGUGGGUUUAGUGAUUGGGGAAUUUGGUCAGCAUGUACAAAGACCUGUGGUGGAGGAACCCACUCAAGGACAAGAUCUUGUACCAACCCAUCACCAGCUUUUGGCGGAAAUGUGUGCAACGGUGAAACCAGUCAGACAGAGGCCUGUAAUGAACAGACUUGCCUUGCAACAUCGUGCCCAGAGGACACAAACAGUUACGGUACUUGGCCAGGCACAAUUGCUGGACAGACCGCUGUUCUAGAAUGUCACAACCAGGGAGAAGAAGGUGGUUAUUCUAGACGUUGUGGGCAAACUGGAACUUGGGAUGGUGUGACAGGAAAGUGUGAAAUAAACACUGAAAUUUUGAAUGAAUUGAACGAACAGUUGGGACGCCUCAUGGAGUCUGGUAAAGAUGUAUCGCAAGAUACUGAAAACAUUGUGAAGAACCUUACGGACCUAACCAAAGGCGUUGAUUCCACCACAAGUAGUGAUACUUUGGAGCGAGUGGUAGAAACAGCACAAAAUGUUGUCAAUGUGUUUGAAAAUAGUAAUACAAUAACAGAGGAAGGAACCGAGAAUUUCUUUAAACUUAUGAAUAACCUCAUCAGACCUGGGACUACGACUGCUUGGAAGAACGAAGAGACUGAUGUAGACGGAAGCGAUGUUCUUGACAUGAUGGACAGAGUUACAGCUGUUGUACAAGAAACCAAAUGUGGCACAAUUGAUGCUGGAACAGUCAUUGAAUAUGAUAAUGACUACAUAUAUACAGAAAUAGGAAAAUCCAAAGAAGGUGUGAUGUUCCCUAAAAAUAAACAAGGGGAGUCCAAUAUAGAAAUUCCGGCGGCUGCAUUGACAGAUAAAGGCAUUUCUGAUGUUUGUUUCGGGGCCUCAGAUUAUAAAUCUAUAGGCAACAUCAUUGAAGGCGGUCUGUCAACUGACGGAUCUACGCAGUCGUUUGGAGACCAAGAAGUAGUUGUUAAUCCUACAGUGGUGUCGCUCAAGUUGCCAUCGAUGCCUGGCGUAACCUAUACCGACAUUAAACCACCAGUUCGUGUGACAUUCCAAAUAAAAAAUGAUAGUUAUUCCAGACCUGUAUGUGUGUUUUGGGAUAAUACUAUUACUAAUGCCGGCAAGAAUGGAGGAUGGUCGCAGGAUGGUUGUGUCCUGAAAGAAUUUACCGACGGAAAUGUUGUCUGUGAAUGCUCCCAUCUCACAAACUUCGCGGUUCUGAUGAGCCCUUCUGGAGCAGCCAGCAAACAUUCUCAGAUUUUGAGCAUAAUCUCCGCUGUCGGAUGUGCAAUAUCUAUGGUGUGUCUCAUUCUGACUAUAGCGGCACACGCAUUGGUUUGGAGGCUUGUUCGAAGCGACCGUGCGAUUAUCCUGAUGAACCUGUGUGUAGCGUUACUGGUUGCACUGGGUGUAUUCCUUGCAGGUGUAAAUAGAACAGAAAGCAUUAAAGCCUGUGCAGCUAUAGCGGCCAUUAUUCAGUAUUUAUUCCUAGCAGUUUUCUUCUUCAUGUUAUUGAGUGGUAUUGAAAUUCUCAUCUGUGUUGUUCAUGUGUUUGUAACCAAAUUUCGCAUCAAAAUUCUGCUCCCAGUAGCUUGGCCUGUUGGUUAGAUAUAGAUUCAGGACUUAUUUGGUCAUUUAUUGGUCCUGCGGCAUUUAUCAUUUUCGUUAACUUUAUAGUUAUCUUGGUCGUUUUUAAAAAGAUGGCCUCCUCAG
rnacentral:misc_RNA from 1 species